UUUACUACUGUGAAGAAUGAAACUAAUACUUCUGGUUAUGGCACUGAUAAUCAUGUUUGUCACACUGCCGAGGGCUGCACGGGCUGACAUAGACCUCACCUUCCAAGGCAAUAAAUGCGUCUACAAAGGUCACAAGUUGCCAAAUGGGGGUUUGGUUACUGGGAGUCUAGGCUGCACAGCAUUAGUCUGCCACGCCGACAAAAAAAGGAUGAACCUUUAUGGUUGUCCGAAACCAAAGCAUUAUAAAGGGGAUGAAGGCGUUAAUGAAUACGAGUGGCCCAAAUGCUGCAAUACUAAAUAACGCAGUCUCCAACCUGCAUGUAUUGCAUCCCGGAGAGGGCUAUCAAGAAAAAAAUUGUGUUUGAAAUUCUGGCAA